rnacentral:rRNA from 1 species
AUUAUUUUAAGUACAAUCUGCUCCAUGUGAUAUAAAUAGCCGCAGUAAAUUCACUGUGCUAAGGUAGCAUAAUCAUUAGCCUCUUAAUUAAAGGCUAGAAUGAAUGAUUUUACAUUUAAUUAAUUUUUUUCUGAAAAAAAUUUAACUUAAACUAAAUAUAAAAAUGUAUUUAUAAAUAAAAAAGACGAUAAGACCCUAAUGAACUUUACUAAAGUUUAGCUGGGGAAGCUAAUUAAAUACAAUUUUAAUUUUUAUAAAGUUACAAAAAGCUAAUACAAUUAAUUUUUCUUAAGUUACCAUAGGGAUAACAGCGUAAUAUUUUUUAAAAGCUCUUAUUAAAAAAAAAGUUUACGACCUCGAUGUUGAAUUAAUUUUACUUUAAAACGCAACUGUAUUAAAAGUAGGUCUGU